ACGCCGCGUGAGGGAUGACAGCCUUAGGGUUGUAAACCUCUGUUGUAUGGGAAGAAGGAAGUGACGGUACCAUACGAGGAAGCUCCGGCUAACUACGUGCCAGCAGCCGCGGUAAUACGUAGGGAGCGAGCGUUGUCCGGAAUUACUGGGCGUAAAGGGCACGCAGGCGUUUAUAUAAGUCAGCUGUUAAAUGUAUGGGCUUAACCGAUGCAUGCGGUUGAAACUGUAUGACUGGAGUACUGGAGAGGUAAGCGGAAUUCCCGGUGUAGCGGUGAAAUGCGUAGAUAUCGGGAAGAACACCAGUGGCGAAGGCGGCUUACUGGCCAGUUACUGACGCUGAGGUGCGAAAGCCAGGGGAGCGAACCGGAUUAGAUACCCGGGUAGUCCUGGCCGUAAACGAUGAAUGCUAGGUGUGGGUAUAGCGAUAUAUCGUGCCGGAGUUA
rnacentral:rRNA from 1 species